CACGAUGACGCUGCUGUGAGUGCGAGACAUGCUAGUCGACGCGAACGUUUCUUCGGAAUGAGUAGAGUGGCGACGGGUGAGUAACGCGUGGAUUAUCUACCUACUGGUACGGGACAACAGUUGGAAACGACUGCUAAUACCGUAUACGCUGGUAACGGGAAAGGGGGCCUCUUCUUGAAAGCUCUCGCCAGUAGAUGAGUCCGCGUUUCAUUAGCUAGACGGUGGGGUAGCGGCCUACCGUGGCAACGAUGAAUAGCAGGCCUGAGAGGGUGGCCUGCCACACUGGGACUGGAACACGGCCCAGACUCCUACGGGAGGCAGCAGUGGGGAAUAUUGCGCAAUGGACGAAAGUCUGACGCAGCGACGCCGCGUGGAGGAUGAAGGUUUUCGGAUCGUAAACUCCUGUCAAGAGGGAAGAAACCUAUUAUGAAUAAUACUCAUAGUAAUUGACGGUACCUCUAGUGGAAGCACCGGCUAAUUCAGUGCCAGCAGCCGCGGUAAUACUGAAGGUGCAAGCGUUAAUCGGAAUCACUGGGCGUAAAGCGCUCGUAGGUGGCUUUGUAAGUCAGGUGUGAAAGCCCACGGCUCAACCGUGGAAUUGCACUUGAUACUGCAUCGCUAGAGUAUAGGAGAGGGAAGUGGAAUUUCUGGUGUAGGAGUGAAAUCCGUAGAGAUCAGAAGGAACACCCGUGGCGAAGGCGACUUCCUGGACUAUUACUGACACUGAGGAGCGAAAGCGUGGGGAGCAAACAGGUAUUAGAUACCCUGGUAGUCCACGCCGUAAACGAUGGGUACUAGGUGUUGGAGGCUUGACCCUCGGUUGCAGUAGUUAAACGCGUUAAGUACCCCGCCUGGGGAAAUACGGGUCGCAAGACUUCACACUCAUA
rnacentral:rRNA from 1 species